AGCUUUGGGUAAGCUCGAAAGCUUGUCUCUCUCAACAACCAAAGUUGGUUCAGUAAAAGAUGUUACCUCACCCACCUUGUCUCUUUGAUCUAUGGACAGUCACAAACCUCCCUUCAGCUGGUGGUCACGAUAGCUGUCUUUCAUUCAGGCUAAAUGAAGGGAGCAGCUAAAUGCCUUUUUGUUUAAUGACAGCUGAAAUAAUAGAAGCCACGAGCCAAACCACAGACCAGCAUGGCAAGGCGGAAUAGGAGCCAAACCAUGUGGGAUUAGGGGUUUUGGAAUUGUGAGCAAAGAUUUGGAAUUGUGAGCAAGGAAACUGCCUCCUGCUCUUUGUGCUGACACAACAUGAAAUGUUUUUCAGAAUUUUGGAAUUUCUCACUGAAUGGCUAAGGACGCAGCCCUACCCUGGCCUGGACCCGGCAGGAGGCAGGGAAAUGCUGCUGCUGGGUCAGGAGAGUGCUAGGCAAUGACUGGCAGUUCCCCUGUCUCGGGGUGAGGGGAGGGUAUGUGGAGUCUCGAGCUGAGCUGCCGGAGAGCUGUGCAUUUUUGGGUGCAUUACAGGUAGACAGUUCUCACAUCACAUGCAUGCUGGCCCUGACUCUGAAAGGCGUUUGCAUCUUUUUGGGUCAGUUUCAUGAUUUUUGGGGUCUGACUCAGGAAUUUUGCUCUCGUGAGGUUGGUGACACUGAGGUUGCCACCCAUUUUUCUGGGGAUCAGUGAGUGGGAGAGGUGGGAUACCUGGACCAGAAGGAGGCAGCCGCCCCCACUGUCUCCUGAAAUUCUGUGAUUACAGCAUUGGCCCUUCAUUGUCCUGCUCCUGACAGACAUUCUGACCAGACCAGGCCAGAGAGGGAACCAAAUGACACCUCCCCUUCCCCAGCUUCAGCUAGAGUCUGAACACCACCUGGAAUGGGAGAUGUGGGUUCCUGCUGUAACCCCAUCCUUUGUACAUUAUUUUCCUUCCCCCCACUUUAUUUCUCCUCUUCUCUAUCUCUCUCCUUUUGCCAUUGUGUAAUUCAGACAUUCAGAGAUUCCAGGCCAGAAGGGACCAUUGUGAACAUCUAGUCUCACCUCUUGCAUAACACAGGCUGGAGAACUGGCCCAAAAUCAUUCCUAGAAAAUAUUAAUAAAUGAUUCUUUUAGAAAAACAUCCAAUCUUGAUUUUAAAAAUGGUCAGAUGGAGAAUCCACCACCCUCUUUGGUAAGUUGUUUCAAUGGUUAAUUACUCUCACGGUUAAAAAAUUAUGCAUUUUUUCCAGUCUGAUAUAUUAAGAGCCUGUCAGAGCCAGCAAAGACUUCUUCCCCUUCUGCAACAUGCCCCUGAGCAGAGAGGCAGCUACCAGCAAUGUAGCAGCAACAGCCCUGUUCUGGGAACAGUUUGCCAGGUCCUGAUCAGACCAUGGGCCAGGCCUGUGUUUCUCCAGUGGUGAAUUUGCAAGUGAAAGUUGGCACCAGAGUUGGAACCUUUGUUUUUUUUGCUCCACUUGUGUGUGUGAUUGUCUUGUUUUGUCUUAAAGAAACCAGGAUUGGAUUCCAAGCAGAACACCACCAGCAACAGCAACAACAGCUCCAGCCUAUCUCAACUAACUGCUUCUCUUUUCCCCUCAAAAGGACAGUUAAUACUGGUCAAACAGAGAUAUCCUCUACGAAAAACUCUCUACAGGAGGAUAGAAUGUGGAACUAACUGCCAAGUGAACUCUCAGGGAAUGGAGGGAGAGCCCUGUUCCCAUUCAGUGGAGCAGGUGACCCAGAUAAGCUGUGUAGAAGCCUGCAAAGAAGGAGUACCCCUCUACUGGUACCACAGAGAGAAGUGGUACCCCACUUCAUGAGAGAGCAGACUGAAGAGCUUCUCCCAGGAGAGGGACACCUCAGUGCUGAAUUCAUUUCCCAGGAGUUCUUUGCAGACACUCAGGAUCACCUGAAACAUGCUCUGUCAAAGGAACACAGAGCGAGUGAGACACAAAUGCAGAAUUGCACUAAGGGAUGUUACACCAGGCCGCUUCACCUUGAAUGGUCUCAUAGCACAUAUUCUAUUUAUGCUAAACUAUCUGUUCCACCUUGUAUUUAGCUGGCACACUCUUGAGUACCUUUCCUAGCCCGGAAGAAGAUCUCUGUGUAGCUUGAAAGAUUGUCUCUCUCACCUACAGAAGUUAGUCCAAUAAAAGAUAUCUCACAACAGCUAUGUUUAGUAGAGACAGAAGGAACAACAGUGAGGAUAUCAGAUGUCACAAACAAGCACAGAAGAAAGCUACAUUUUAUAGCAUAUUUUACACUAUGGUUUGAAUUAAAAUGACAGCAGGAACGAAACCCAGAUAAGCAGGAAACCCUUGAAUGUCAUGACUUACCUGAUCACAAUUGUUUUGCCAUUCUCUUCUGGAUUCUCAAAUAACUUUGCCCAGAUGUGUUGGAUAUUUUUCUUAUCAGCAUCAGUUAACAAAGCCAUGAUGCCUGGAGGAUGCUCCCUGAUGAAGUGACAAGAUAGCAGACAAUUUUCAGCCCCUGCUUUUGGAGAAAGCCAAGCAUUCUAGAUGAGUUCACCAAGAACAGACAUAAAUGUUCAGUGUGAAACCACUCCUUCGACAGGAGGGGUCUGUCUGUGACACAGGACUUACUUUCAUUCUGUACUUCAGAGAGACAGAGAGAGAGAGAGAUGUGGGGUUCACCUCCAAACAGAAAGUGCAGACAGGACCGAAUGCAAGAGCAUAAGAAAAGCCAAAUGAGCCAUUCCGGCACAGGGUAAAAGAGAUGUUUUCCAAUCAGAACUUUGAUCAACUUUGAACUUUGGGGAAAGGAGUAAAAUCUGAUCUUUGCAGCCUGGGUCCAUCUCUAGUAGAAAAUAUCUGCACAUUUUGGAUGAAGUUUCAACAGAAUAAGCUCACUCUCCAGGGGAAGAGAACAUUCUGGGGUGGUGGAAUGCAUGGUAUAAGUGUUCUGAUUUACACUAGGCUUCCACACCAUUAGGCUAAUGUUAACAAGAAGACCUCCUGUCUCCUGGUGGGGAUGCACGACCAAGCACCUGGUAGUGACAAAAAGCAAAAACUGCUGUGUCCUGCCAGGAACAGCAAAGGGGACUCCAUACAAUAAGAACCUCUCAAACCUCUGUGUUUUUUGACGUUCUAAAUAUUUGAAUAAAUUGACUCAGGAUGCCCCAUAGCCCUUUCAGAGGGACCCAUCCAAAAAAUGGCCUCUUUACACUCCUUCCCACUUCUUAGAUGGUGGAGGCUGGGUGAAGCUCAGUGCUGUAGUCCACUUGAACAGUCCAAGUGGUGAGCAUCCUCUUUCAAAAUUUAAGAGGC